UAUGGGCAAUUUGUGUCUUUAUUUUUUACUAUCUUCUAAACAAAUCAAUAGAGCACCUCAGCAUCAUUUUAAUUGAGACUUAGAAUCCCAGUUGUUUAAUUUUGAAAAGCUUUCAAGUUAUAAAUGCAAAAAUUGUCAAAAAGGUGUAUAAUAUUUAUAUUUUCUAACUUUUAAGAUGCAAUCUAAUUGGAUUAAAACUGUGUACAUAUUUUAUAGUAGAAAAUAAUGAAUACUUUGUAUAAUUAUUCUAACUUUACCUAUUAUUCCUUCUCAUUAGUUGCUACUACUACAUCAACUACUGCUACAAUUGGAACUGAAACUCCAUCAACAAAUGGAAGCAUUAAUGAUAACAUUGUGGCUGGUACAGUCAGUGGUACUGUACUAUUGAUAUUGAUCAUAAUAACGAUAUGUGUUGUGAUCGCUUUUAAUAAAAA